rnacentral:rRNA from 1 species
UCCAUGAGUAAAGUGGCGACCGGGUGAGCAACACGUGACUAACCUACCCUCGAGUGUGGAAUAACCCCGGGAAACCGGGGCUAAUACCGCAUAAUAUCGCGAGAUCAAAGGAGCAAUCCGCUUGAGGAGGGGGUCGCGGCUGAUUAGCUAGUUGGCGGGGUAACGGCCCACCAAGGCGAAGAUCGGUAUCCGGCCUGAGAGGGCGCACGGACACACUGGAACUGAAACACGGCCAG